rnacentral:rRNA from 1 species
AUGCACGCUGGCGGCGUGCCUAACACAUGCAAGUCGAGCGGAGAAUUGUUGCUUGCAACAAUUCUUAGCGGCGGACGGGUGAGUAACACGUGGGUAACCUGCCCUAAACAAAGGGAUAACAAUGAGAAAUCAUUGCUAAUACCGUAUAAGCUUACACUAUCGCAUGAUAGAGUAAGAAAAGAUUUAUCGGUUUAGGAGGGGCCCGCGUCUGAUUAGCUAGUUGGAGAGGUAACGGCUCACCAAGGCGACGAUCAGUAGCCGACCUGAGAGGGUGAUCGGCCACAUUGGGACUGAGACACGGCCCAAACUCCUACGGGAGGCAGCAGUGGGGAAUAUUGCACAAUGGAGGAAACUCUGAUGCAGCAACGCCGCGUGAAGGAAGAAGGUUUUCGGAUCGUAAACUUCUAUCUACAGGGAAGAAAAAAAUGACGGUACCUGAGUAAGAAGCCCCGGCUAACUACGUG